rnacentral:lncRNA from 10 species
UUGUCUCUUUACUUAUGGAAUUUGUUAUUUCUCCUUCAUUUUCUAAAGGUUUUUUCAAGGCUUUAACAGAAGUUUGGGUAUAAUUAUUAAGAAUCACUAUAGUAUAAGCACAGUCUAGAAACCAAUUAAAUUUUCUCUGUGUUACAUAUCAAUUUGGUAAGGACUAUGUAAUUCCUGCCAUGAGGUGGAAAUACUGGAUUCUUCUCUUGGCCCUAAGUUUCGUUUAUUGACCUGUUGUUGGUCCAUCUCUCUAGAACUCUCGGCUGAGCUUCAGGCCUUACAUUCAUAUCUGACUUCAGCGAUUUGUCUUCUUGUCUCAAUAAGUGUAAGAAGUGGGUAGAGGAUGGAAAGGGAGAAGAAAGGAUUAAAGUUAAGCCUGAAUGUUUCAUUCUCCACCUUAACAUGACCGCAUCUACUAAUAGCCAAUAAAAUGAAUUGGCCUCUCUACUGGGCUGCUUGACCUUCCUCAUGACAUGGCAGUUGGUUUUUCCCAGAGCAGAUAAGAACAACCAUGAUUCAAUAUGUGAGUAGGCUAUACAGGAGACAGGAACCAUUGGGAGCCAUUUUGAACACUCUCUACUACAGGAUCAAAAGCAAAUAAUUACAAAACAGUACAUCAAUGCAACAAUGGCAUUAUAUGUAAGCAUUAAUAUAGAAUUUUGGAGGGAAAUCACGAGAAAACUGAAGACAUCUGUCCACCAAGAAAAGCACAAAAGCUAUAAACUGAAGAUAGAUAUAUUUUCAACUAACUGCAGUCUUCAAAUAUAAUCGAUAGCUGACUGCUGCUUCUUGAAAAUAUGGGUGGAAAUGCUUUGAACAGAAAUUUAAGGAUGUUAUGUAUUUGAUGAACCAAUGCUCAUUGAUCUAACGCUAUCAGAGGAACAGAAAAGUUGUGACUUCCAGGAAUAAAACAACUUCCAGCAAGUUAUUCAUUCUAAGAGAAAAGUAACUUUAAA